AUUGAACGCUGGCGGCAGGCCUAACACAUGCAAGUCGAACGAGUGGCGGACGGGUGAGUAAUGUCUGGGAAACUGCCCGAUGGAGGGGGAUAACUACUGGAAACGGUAGCUAAUACCGCAUACCAUCGGAUGUGCCCAUAUGGGAUUAGCUAGUAGGCGGGGUAACGGCUCACCUAGGCGACGAUCCCUAGCUGGUCUGAGAGGAUGACCAGCCACACAGGAAAUGAGACACGGUCCAGACUCCUACGGGAGGCAGCAGUGGGGAAUAUUGAACAAUGGGCGCAAGCCUGAUGCAGCCAUGCCGAGUGAAUGAAGAAGGCCUUCGGGUUGUAAAGUACUGUCAGAGAGGAGGCGUUACUCGAAGAGGAAGCACCGGCUAACUCCGUGCCAGCAGCCGCGGUAAUUC
rnacentral:rRNA from 1 species